CCUUGAGGUUAUGUUACCUGUUUAAGAAAACGAGACCGGCAAAGAGAAAACCACAGUGCUGGAGAUGCCUGAAGAGGCAGCAAGAAGGACAAGCUACUUAGGAGCUGAGACUUCAUCCUAUUGGCAAGAAAAGAACCACAGAUUUACUGGCUCACCUAGAAGAAGAAGGAAAGAAGGAAGAGGCUGAGCUGAACUCUGGAUAUCUGCGGGAAGCCCAGUGAGUCUGGGCUCUGCCUCCCUGACCAGCGUGCAAGGCAGGUGAAACCUCGGACACCCUCUGGG